rnacentral:rRNA from 1 species
CGCCACAGCCAUAUCACCCUGCAGCCCAAGACUGGUCGCCCACAAAAGCUAAGCAGGGUUGAGCCUGGUCAGUACCUGGCUGGGAGACCUCCUGGGAAAACUAGGAUGCUGUUGGAA